AUUUGUCCCAACCACUAACUCUUCCUGCUCAUAUUGCUUGCAGGGCUUCAUACACAAUUACUUUGGGCUUAUGCCUGAGGAGAAGCUUCCAGUCCUAAUUAGAGAAUGUGCAUACCCAAGCCUCCUAGAUGGAGACUUCCUUGGAAAUGUGGCCUAAGUAAUGCUAUUUGUGCCUUGCAGGGUACGGAGGAGCGAUGAAAUGGGCUCCACGUGCUGAGGGAGCCAGCAGUGGGCAAGGAAAACUGCCUCGUGCUCAGUGGAUGUCAGCCAGAACCAACCCUGGGAAUCAGCUCCUUGCUCAGUGCCCUCUGCCAUGGAGGCAGCAAAGCAGAGGGCCGCCUCACUGCAGUCCUCUGUAGGCAAUUCUGCCAUAAGACAAAUAUCGAUUCGAAGCUAGAUUUGCAGCUCAGGCCUGGUGUCCGCUCUGCAUUUACUUCUAAAACUCUGGCCGUGAGAUGCAGUGGCACACGGAGUGGCUCUGGGUGGCCAGGAGGAGGAGAAGGGGAGGAGAGAACCCUCGUGCUCUGCCUUGCAAAUAUUUGAUUUUGAAUAUGCUCUCGUAGCUGUUAUUAUGUGCAAAGCAAACGUGUUUUCUCUUCGUGCCAAAUUUGUUUUAAUAACACAGUGUUACUUCUGCAAAUGUCAGCUACAGCCUCUCUCCAUUCUGGUGGCACUCGGCCCGGGGCGAAGGCUGGGUGUUUUAUGCUCCCUCUCCAUCGCUUCCAUUAAUCUGUUUAACAUGCCGGAGGUGGCAGUGACAGCAAAGGCAAUGAAAUCCCUGCGUGGCAGUGCUGGUGCUGCCGUUCUGUAUGCAUGAGGAACCUGAGCUGCCCGAGGAGGGUGCUGGCUGUGCCCCAGAGCACAACACCCUGAAGAACCCCACAGCCCUGCCCGGCCUAAUUGGCCUGUUUGUUUGGCAAUAAGUGAUUCCUGCCUGUUGCGGGCUGGAUUGUUUUUCACACCAUUAAAUGAAGUUCUGCUGUAUUGAUCCCUGUUUUUCCAAUUUGAAGCCUGAAAAGUGAUGAAGACAUUUUCUUGUUUUCUCAUGUACUUUUCCCUCAG
rnacentral:lncRNA from 1 species